rnacentral:rRNA from 1 species
GACGAACGCUGGCGGCGUGCCUAAUACAUGCAAGUUGAGCGCUGAAGGUUGGUCCUUGUACCAACUGGAUGAGCAGCGAACGGGUGAGUAACGCGUGGGGAAUCUGCCUUUGAGCGGGGGACAACAUUUGGAAACGAAUGCUAAUACCGCAUAAAAACUUUAAACACAAGUUUUAAGUUUGAAAGAUGCAAUUGCAUCACUCAAAGAUGAUCCCGCGUUGUAUUAGCUAGUUGGUGAGGUAAAGGCUCACCAAGGCGAUGAUACAUAGCCGACCUGAGAGGGUGAUCGGCCACAAUGGGACUGAGACACGGCCCAAACUCCUACGGGAGGCAGCAGUAGGGGAUCUUCGGCAAUGGACGAAAGUCUGACCGAGCAACGCCGCGUGAGUGAAGAAGGUUUUCGGAUCGUAAAACUCUGUUGGUAGAGAAGAACGUUGGUGGGAGUGGAAAGCUCAUCAAGUGACGGUAACUACUCAGAAAGGGACGGCUAACUACGUG